AGGGGGCUCAGGGGGGUGCUGAGGGGCUCUGGUGGGUGCUCUGGGGGCAUGUGUGGGUGCUGAGGGGCUCAGGGGUGUGCUGAGGGCACGUGUGGGUGCUGUGAGGCAGGUACGAAUGCCGUGGGCUCCAGUGGGUGCUGUGGGGCUCCGGUGGGUGCUGAGGGACUCGUGUGGGUGCUGAGGGCUGAUGGGGGGGGUGUGUGCUGUGGGACUUGUGUGGGUGCUGUGGGCACGGGUGGGUGCUGUGGGGCUCCGGUGGGUGCUGAGGGCAUGUGUGGGUGCUUUUGGGACUCGGGUGGGUGCUGUAAGGUUGGUAUGGGCGCUGUGGGCACAGGUGGGUGCCGUGGGGCUUCAGUGAGUGCUGUGGAGCCCAGGAGGGUGCUGAGGGCAUUUGUGGGUGCUUUGGGCACGGGUGGGUGCUGUGGGCAGACCUGGGUGCUGUUGGACUCCGUUGGGUGCGGCGGGGCACAGGAACGCAGCCGAGGGGCGCAGCAGGCGAUUCCCGCACCCUGGGGUGCACGUUAGGGUGCCUGGGGGGUGCAGGGGAAGCGCCGCUCAGGACCCCCCCCCCCCCGUCACGCUUCAGGGUGGUCCCUCGGGCUCUGGGAAACGCGGGGUUAGCGGUCAGCAAUGAGAACGGGCUGCGUCUGACGUUCGUUUGGGAGGCUGCCAAAAGAGACAUGAGGAAGCGCAGGGGAUUUGUUCCCACGCCAGGAAUGCCGGUGGGGUGACGGUUGCGGGGCCGCUCCUCGCCCCAGGCCUGGUUUUGGGGGGCUGCCCCCUGCCGGGGGGCACCGCUGGGCCCCUGCUCUGCCACACAGAGGGCUUGAGUCAGUGGCACAAAACCCGUCCGUCCCUGGGGGUUUCCUCGGCCGGCCGUGCGCGAAGGAAGGACAAAAUGGAGCCGAUCCUCACCGCGCCGCUGGGAACGUCGCAGCUGGAUGCGUUCUGCUUCCAAGCACCAGCACAAAGCUCCUGGGGUAAAAGCAGGAGCUGAGCUUGGAGAUCGCCCACCACAUCCCCACCUUCACAGCUCAAACCGGGAGCAGCAAGUCCUGGGACUGCCCCAUGGGGUCCGAGCUGCCCCAUGGCAGCCCCGCAGCUCCAGAGGGGCUCCGGGAGCAUUGGGCGCAGGACAUUCCCCUCCUGCGGGGCUUGGGGUGCUGGGGCAAAUGUUUUAAGGUGAUUUUAAGGUGUUGGACGCAGAGGAAACUCAACCAAGGGAGCCCCUUCUCAGCAGCGAACCUCCGUACCCGUUAGGGAUUUCAUCACCCAGGAGGGGAACGGCAGCGCUCGCCUUGCCCGCUUCCAGCAGACCCUCACACCAAACUGCAAAAUAACGAUGAUGAUAAUAAGAAUAAAAAAUCAAUAAACAUUUAUUCGAUACAGCUGUUUUUAAUACAUACAGUACAUAGAGUUAUCCCUCCUCGGUGCUCAGCGGCGCUGUGGUUAAUAGCUGCUUGUUACAGUACUCUCAAACUGAGGAUUUGUCAAUGAUUAACAAAAGAACAGAUCGUCACAAAUCGGGAGUUUAUUAUAAGAUAGUUUACUGUUAAAACAAUUUUAUUUUUUGCAAAUAAACACUUUUUAAUAUAUAUAUUUAUAUAUUUAUAUAUAUGGUUACAAGUGAUAAAUUGAAAAUUCUUUUUUUUUUUUUUUCCAUUUUGCUUUUUUCCCCAAAAUACACUUAUGCACUAAUAACUGGCAUUGACGAGAAACAUUCGGAUAUGCCGUGGGAUGGGUGUCACGAGGAGAGAAAGAAAAGAACAAAACGGUCCCGGCGUUCACGUGCGCCAGCGGCCUGGCCCCGGGGGAUGCUCGGUGCCCGGCGGGACCCCGGGACCCGCAGCGAUGGGCGCGCGUGCCGGCGCGGAGCCGACCUCGCCGGUGCGCCGUGUUUCACGGCAAAUUCCGGCGCUGGAUGCUGCCGGAGCCGUUUUCGGGGCCGGCUCCGUGCGAGGGAUGGGUCAGAGCCCGCCCGUCCCCAAGCACGCGGAGGGUUUAGCCCUUUCCUUGGUGAUGUGCGGGUGCGGGCGGCGUGAAGAUGAAUUUGGGCAGCCGGUGCCACCCGAGCCCCAAACUGACACCGUGUGCAACCAGGGCAGCGGGUCGGCCACCUCCCCGGCCCAACCACGUCUCCAAAUCCCAGCAGGAAAGGGGAUGAAAUGGCCGAGGCCGAGCUCACCGCUGCGCCAGCCUCGCCCCACCACCCUGCUGCCCCCCACCCGUUCGGUUUCAAGCACCCUCCUCCUCCGGGGCACCCACCAAGCACAAAGCGGCGGCACCGCGCGCCCCGGGGCAGGCAGGUGCCGCUGUUCCUGUUAUUGCUUUGGAGGUGGGCAGCGAGGGGCGAGGAGCCUCCCCCGGGCAGGCAGUGAAAGAGAGACGCCCACGGCGAAGCAAAGCAAAAUGCCCUCUCCGCCCUUGUGGGAGGACGGCGCUCGGGCGGACCCGGGACACGAGGGACCCGGCACACGGGGGAC